GAACACUGUUUGAAUGACAGUGCAUGUGACCAUGUAGACGGAGUCUGCGCAGAAGGAUGUGACAAUGGAUAUGUAGGAGACAGAUGCAACAAAUUGUGUGAUAACGGACAUUAUGGUAGAAAUUGUUCUCAGAUAUGCUCUCCUAAAUGCAUGGACACGUGUCUGCAAACAGACGGAUCUUGCAUCUGUGCCACUGGUUGGAUGGGCACCAAUUGUAUCCAAGAAUGCUCCUCUGGAUUUUACGGAAUAAAUUGUGAAGAAGAGUGUAGUUUACACUGUGGAUUUAAUGACUC